ensembl:lncRNA ASMER1 adipocyte associated metabolic related lncRNA 1
CCAGCCUAGCUGCUGCCUUGCAGUUUGAUCUCAGACUGCUGUGCUAGCAAUCAGCGAGAUUCCGUGGGCGUAGGACCCUCCGAGCCAGGUGUGGGAUAUAGUCUCAUGGUGCCCCGUUUUUUAAGCCGGUCUGAAAAGCGCAGUAUUCGGGUGGGAGUGACCCGAUUUUCCAGAAUCUAUCCCCAACAAAUGGGGGAAACAUUUGGAAUGGAAGCUUAUCUUUCAAAUGUGGAAGUUCUCAUCACUCCUGGAAGUGAGUAGCUACCUAGCACUACUCCUGCCCCUGCCACGAGAACACACCCUUUCCAGUUUGCUGGAGAAAUAUAAGAGAAGUCCAGUGAAAGAGAGCUGAGUUUCCCCAAUGAUGCCAUCAAGAUGAACUAACUACAGUUAACCAGCCAGCUGAUAGCAGAUGCAUGAGUGAGCCCAGCUGAGAGCAGGUGAAACUGAAAUUGGCUGUAUCAUCUGAAACUUCAUCUGUGAAGUCCCUGGUGGUUUCCUAGAUGACUACACAGUUGAGUUGCCUCUGAUUGGAAAAGCAGUGUUUUGGUUUUUCAGUUUGUACAAGAGGAAGAAGACGCAUGAUAUGUGUUUGGCUCAUGUGCCUGAAUAUGGCUCCACAGGGAAGACUUGAUACAGCUGAAGCUAUUGCUUUUUAGAGACUUUUUAUUUUGAGCAGCUGCCUUAACAGCCUUCGUCUUGUUACAUCACAUGAGAUAUAUCUCUGGAAUAGGAAGAGAAAAAAGACAUGACUGAGCAAUAAUUUUUGACUAAAACUUAAAAUUACAAAACCAAAACCAGAGAUAGAUGUCCCUGAAGUUGUAUUUUUAUAGUAUGUGAGAACACAAUUUUCUUAUCCUAGUUUUAAGGCAUUCCUCUGGACCCAGGAUUUUUGUUUAGUUUCAUUCACAUAAUCAAACUCUUUUUUUUUUUUUUGCCAUAGACUAAUGCAUUUUGGUGUAAUGAUCUGAGCCCUUAUCCAGAAGGCAUCUAAGACUCAUGUACAAAAAUAGAUUUCAGGGCUAAACAUUCUAAAAGACAAUUGAGUGCUUCUUUUUUCUCCGGCCCCUAGAUGUAAAUGAAUAACCUCUGUUCACUAACUCUUAAUGUAAUAUAAGGGAUAAAUUAUGCUUGUUUAUUUAAUUGUGCUUAACCAGAGUACUAGGUUGGAGUCAAACCACAGAUAUAUUUGUGAGAUGUGACAAAAUGUAGCUUUUAGCCCGUAAUACCCAAGUCAUCUGGGAACAUAACUGAUGACAGUGUCAACACCUUUCAGGAAUUCUGGAGGUGCCUUUGAGUUUAGAAAUUCGUAGGUUCUCUAGAAGCAACAGUAGCAUACUAAAUUAACACAUAACAUUUCAAGCUACAUUUACAUAAUUGCAGUGGUUAUGAUUAAUACAAAUUAUAUUAACUGCCUGUUUUACUCCUUAUAGCUGAUUGGCUGAAUUUACCAGUGGGUUUGGUAUGUUCAACAAAUGAUCCAAAUUACCUUUUCAUUUCAGUUAAGAAACUAAUCAAAGCAAAUACACUUUGAUUUGUUGAGAGGCAGAGAUUCUCCCUAAGUGGCAAUGUCCUUGGCCUUCUAAGCUAAAACCUAAAUGGAACUAUAAUAUAUAUUUUGAUGCUUUAUCUCACUUGAGUUUUUUAUUCUUUAACUGAAGGGCAGCCAUGGACCAUAAAUACAUAGAAGAUAAAAAUAUAUUGAGCUUAGGAGUUUGGUCUGUUCAAUGGAUGAGAACUUUAUAUUUUCCCUUAUAAACACAAUUUUCAAAGAAUAGCCUGUAAUAGUCGUGAAAAUGGAAACCAAUACUGGGGAAAUGUGGACUGCAACUCUGAAAAGGUAUCAAAAUGCCCGAUAGUUCAACACAAGGGCUAAGCAAUAUUUCAGGGAUGUGGCCUGUCUUUGGUGGCUCGGUCACUCUAGUGAGAUGAAUUUGGAAAAGGAUAGGCAUACAGAAUCCCCCCUCUGGCAGGGUUUGCCUUUGGGGUCUGCUUAAAGCCAUGUUUGCUAGUAGAAAUCUUGAGUAACCAGAUAUGUUUUAUAAUGCUGUGUCAUAUUUAAAUUCUGAUGAGAUUGACAUCUUUAAAUAAGCUUGGACACAGAUUGGAUUUGUACAGGGAACUGGACUGAAGAAUAAUCGUAGGUCAGUAAUAGAUUUAGAUAUACUAUUUUUAUAUUGUAAGCAGUUACUUCUCAGGAUUAGUAUUCUAAUUCAUUUGAUUUAAUAUGUAAUAGGUAAUAUUAAAAAUAAAGAUUUUAUGCUUUGAAA